rnacentral:rRNA from 1 species
CAUGAAGCUGGAAUCGCUAGUAAUCGCGGAUCAGAAUGCCGCGGUGAAUACGUUUCCCGGGUCUUGUACACACCGCCCGUCACACCAUGGGAGUCGGAAAUGCCCGAAGUCUGUGACCUAACCGUAAGGAAGGAGCAGCCGAAGGCAGGUCGGAUGACUGGGGUGAAGUCGUAACAAGGUAAC